AAAACACAUGAGUACACCACAGCGAACAAAAUUGCUGGUUUGUAAAACCUUGGAAGAGGCUUUAAGGAAAAUCCAGGAGCUGGAAAUGCAAGAUAAUUUGUGCCUGACUCUAGUACGAAGAAUUUUGGGAAGACGAUUUGGCCUAAAAAGACCUGUAGCAGUUAACAAGCUAUUAGAUGCACAAUAGCACAAAAUGACCACCACCACUAUCACCCUAAAGUGUGUGCUUGGUGUCUGUCUACACGUGCUUGCUUCUGGAAUGUUGAAGAACAAACUGUGUUGAAACGCCAACUGUUGGUCAUGGACCUUUGCCGCCCUUCAUCCAGAGCCUUCCACAGAGAUGGCAGAUAUAUCGCUGCCUGGACCAACAGUUGACCAUGCCGUUGAGUCCAUGAAAACAUCUACAGAAUUACAUCUGCGGCCGUGGCUAUUAAUGGAUACAUUCUGCACCACUUCCAUGUGCUGUCAGUUUGAAACGUCUCUACUCUGACAGAAGGAAGGGAAUGAAUACCCAGGAUUGUUCCUCAGGAAAAUCUCUUCAACAAGCUGUUGUCAGUUUGCAUGCUCUUUGGAUGGAAUUACCCUACCUUGGCUUGCAGAGAAUCUGUGAUAUGAAAGACCUCUUUUGUGCUGCAUUGUGUCAUUGAUUUAUUG